GGGAAUGCCUUUCGGGGAUUGUUGGCGAAAGCAGUUUUGAAGAGCUGGUUGAAAUUGGAGUACAGGUUUGGGUCGUCGGAGACAACAUCGGAUGUUUCAUCGCAGAAGAGGUUAAGGUCAAGGUCGAGAGAUCCGUUUGAAAAAUUGGGGUCUUGAGGCUAAGACUAUUAUUGUUCUUCUAGUUUGGGUGUGUGGGUGUUGAGCCAUUCGUUGAAAGGUUUGAGCUUUGGGAUUAU
rnacentral:lncRNA from 1 species